GAUUAACACCGCAUAACAUUACGACAUAGCAUUAUGAUGUAAUCAAAUAUUUAUAGGAUAAAGAUGGGCAUGCGGGACAUUAGCUAGUUGGCGGGGUAACGGCCCACCAAGGCGACGAUGUCUAGGGGAUCUGAGAGGAUGACCCCCCACACUGGUACUGAGACACGGACCACACUCCUACGGGAGGCAGCAGUAAGGAAUAUUGGUCAAUGGACGCAAGUCUGAACCAGCCAUGCCGCGUGCAGGAAGACGGCCCUACGGGUUGUAAACUGUUUUUGUACCGAAAUACACCUCCUUACGUGUAAGGAGCUGAAUGUACGGUAAGAAUAAGGAUCGGCUAACUCCGUGCCAGCAGCCGCGGUAAUACGGAGGAUCCAAGCGUUAUCCGGAUUUAUUGGGUUUAAAGGGUGCGUAGGUGGCUUAUUAAGUCGGGGGUGAAAGACGGCAGCUUAACCUGUCGCAGUGCCUUUGAUACUGAUGAGCUUGAAUGCAGCUGAGGU
rnacentral:rRNA from 1 species